UGGGAUACCGAGAAUGCUUUAUGCUUACAUGCGUAUGUUUGAAUUUUUCAAUGGCGUAAUGCUCCAUGAAAAUGGAAAUGCUACGCGAUUUGGGAGGAUGCAAUGCAAUAUGAUUCUACAUGUAGGGAUGUGAAAUGCUGGGUAGAAUGCCAAGCUGAGGCAAGGGGAUCUGCUGGGGAAAUGAUCACCAUCUUUUGGACCCUGGCA
rnacentral:lncRNA from 1 species